rnacentral:lncRNA from 1 species
AACAACCAAUAAUGAUAAUAAAUUUAACAAACUUAAUUCAAAAUGAAAGUAAUCAUGAUCGUGUACUUAACCCUGGAUAGGAGUUUUAGCCUUUAAUGAAAAUAUUCAUCAUCCAAUUCCUUGGAUUGAUGAUACAAACCAUGAAAGAAACUAAAAUAAAAGAAUGAUAAAAAAACUCUUAAAAUAAGUUGUGUCGCCUCCAAUAUCUUCCAAGUAUGUCCAAAAGUAAGUUAAAAAACGUGAAUAAUGUCCUAUUUAUAGUGGAAGAAAUAGCCCAUGCCUUGUUGAACAAGGAAACAGUUUCUGGUCAUCUGCAAACCUAGUGAUGCACCGCGUAAAAUUCACAUUGGUUCACUGUUUUGGGUGCCUUAUGAAUUCAUUGAAGUUUUGCAAGUUCCAAUACUCCUUCCCAUGCGCCUACACUCUCCCAAUACUUUUUCAGGUAUCCAAAUUGGCGUCAAGCUGCGUUUUGUGCUUCCGUGAUCCAUUCCAAGACUUUUUGAGUUUUUUCCACUUAAGUUGAAGCUUGUAAAUCCUUCAUAUAUCAUCAUAGUCCAAUUAAAAAAAAUUCUAUAGCAUUAAACAUAAUAAUUUAGAGCUCAAAACAACACAACAUCCUCAACGAUGAACUAGAAACAUGAGCUAAGCAUAGGCUAAAUUCACAUUGAGCUUUAACUUAUUGUUUUGACCCUUUUAUUGAUCCAAUUGACCCUUGAACAUUGUAAAUAAGUUGUUUCAAAUGUAAAUACAUAAUAAAAACCUUAGUAACUCAUUAAAACACAUUAGAACUCUACACAAUAGACUAGAAAAAUAUCUAGCUCAAGCUAGUUACACUAGUUUUCUCGAUUGAACUCUAAAUGCUCAAAUUGAAUAAAAACUCAUGUGAAUCCACCAUUAAAUAUUGUAAACACAUUCUUGUACACAUAAAUUCUCAUUUGUAUCAUUAUUAACGCAUAUGGCAUAAUAAUAAUCCUCAAAAUAAGGCUAAAUAAGCGAGAAUGGUAGCACUAGAAUGCAUAAAUACACCCAACAUCACCACCCCACACUUAAAGCCUUUUUCGUCAUUGAAUAACUCUUAACUACAAACACCAUGAGCUGAAGAGACUCCACACUUCUACUAUAUUCAAGAGAUUCAAGCUAGAACUACAAUGACUACACAGAAUACAAGUUUACAACACAAAGAAUGUUACACACAAUUGUAAGCUCAAGAAUCCUACUUCCAAAACAUCCUAGCCUCAAGAAUGGACUCCACAAGUGGCAAACUCAUGCAUAUUUAUCAAUCAAAGAGAUCACAAGAAUCACCCAUAUUCAUCAAACAUGUGCCCCUCACCACAACAGAGUUACCCAUAAUCACUUAUAAUAAUGCAACUCAUCAUAAUGGGUAUACAAAUCAAGUUACGCUCACUCUCACAAAGAAUUCACAAGUUACACAUAAUGAACCAUAGGAUUGACCUUAGUGUAAUGCUCCACUAAUAGUCGAAUGUAAAGUUUAGGAUCAAGUAGGACUUUUUCGGGUUAUAUUGUAGGCUAAGGGACGGGUAGGAACUAUUUGGGAAUAGUGACUAACCUCUCUAAGCGCUUUAAUACACUACAUUAAACAUUUAAAACCAAUCUCCAACAACCAAAUUACACCAUUUUUUUCUACCCGAUUCUCUUAUUUUUACCCCAUCUCUUUUAAGUUUUUUCACAAAUACUUGAUGGACACAUAGUUUACUACCGCAAGAAUCAAUUUUUCUCUUUUUUUUUUCACAAUCAUGACAAUAUUUUUAGCAUAAUUUAUAUCACAACCAUCCAGCACACAUCAAUUAUACACCAAUAACCAUUACCUUAGGGGUACAAUUUCACCUUUUUCUUCUUCAAUUUCGCAACUCCUUUCCUAAAUUUUUUUUAUUAAAGAACUUAGGAGCUUUUUGGAUCAAAUUAUGGUCUAUCAAAGAAGGGAAUU